GUGGGGAAUAUUGGACAAUGGGCGCAAGCCUGAUCCAGCCAUGCCGCGUGAGUGAUGAAGGUCUUAGGAUUGUAAAGCUCUUUCACCGAUGAAGAUAAUGACGGUAGUCGGAGAAGAAGCCCCGGCUAACUUCGUGCCAGCAGCCGCGGUAAUACGAAGGGGGCUAGCGUUGUUCGGAAUUACUGGGCGUAAAGCGCAUGUAGGCGGAUAUUUAAGUCAGGGGUGAAAUCCCGCAGCUCAACUGCGGAACUGCCUUUGAUACUGGGUAUCUUGAGUAUGGAAGAGGUGAGUGGAAUUCCGAGUGUAGAGGUGAAAUUCGUAGAUAUUCGGAGGAACACCAGUGGCGAAGGCGGCUCACUGGUCCAUUACUGACGCUGAGGUGCGAAAGCGUGGGGAGCAAACAGGAUUAGAUACCCCUGUAGUCC
rnacentral:rRNA from 1 species